rnacentral:rRNA from 1 species
UACGUAGGGUGCGAGCGUUAAUCGGAAUUACUGGGCGUAAAGCGUGCGCAGGCGGUCUGUUAAGACCGAUGUGAAAUCCCCGGGCUUAACCUGGGAACUGCAUUGGUGACUGGCAGGCUUUGAGUGUGGCAGAGGGAGGUAGAAUUCCACGUGUAGCAGUGAAAUGCGUAGAGAUGUGGAGGAACACCAAUGGCGAAGGCAGCCUUCUGGGCCAACACUGACGCUCAUGCACGAAAGCGUGGGGAGCAAACAGG